CCUACGGGGGGCAGCAGUGGGGAAUAUUGGACAAUGGGCGAAAGCCUGAUCCAGCCAUGCCGCGUGUGUGAAGAAGGCCUUCGGGUUGUAAAGCACUUUCAGUGGGGAAGAAAGCCUUGGGGCUAAUACCCUCGAGGAAGGACAUCACCCACAGAAGAAGCACCGGCUAACUCCGUGCCAGCAGCCGCGGUAAUACGGAGGGUGCGAGCGUUAAUCGGAAUUACUGGGCGUAAAGCGCGCGUAGGCGGUCUGAUAAGCCGGUUGUGAAAGCCCCGGGCUCAACCUGGGAACGGCAUCCGGAACUAUCAGGCUAGAGUGCAGGAGAGGAAGGUAGAAUUCCCGGUGUAGCGGUGAAAUGCGUAGAGAUCGGGAGGAAUACCAGUGGCGAAGGCGGCCUUCUGGACUGACACUGACGCUGAGGUGCGAAAGCGUGGGUAACAAACAGGAUUAGAUACCCCGGUAGUC
rnacentral:rRNA from 1 species